rnacentral:rRNA from 1 species
GAUGAACGCUAGCUACAGGCUUAACACAUGCCAGUCGAGGGGAAACGGCAUUAAGUGCUUGCACUUUUUGGACGUCGACCGGCGCACGGGUGAGUAACGCGUAUCCAACCUUCCCAUGACUAAGGGAUAACCUGCCGAAAGGCAGACUAAUACCUUAUGGUCUUCACUGACGGCAUCAGAUGUGAAGUAAAGAUUUAUCGGUUAUGGAUGGGGAUGCGUCUGAUUAGCUUGUUGGCGGGGUAACGGCCCACCAAGGAAACGAUCAGUAGGGGUUAUGAGAGGAAGGUCCCCCACAUUGGAACUGAGACACGGUCCAAACUCCUACGGGAGGCAGCAGUGAGGAAGAUUGGGCAAUGGGCGAGAGCCUGAACCAGCCAAGUAGCGUGCAGGAGGACGGCCCUAUGGGUUGUAAACUGCUUUUGUAUGGGGAUAAAGUCAAUCACGUGUGAUUGUUUGCAGGUACCAUACGAAUAAGGACCGGCUAAUUCCGUG